UGGUUCAGUGGUUAAGACUCUGUAUUUCCACUGCAGUGGGCACAGGUUUGAUCCCUGU
rnacentral:tRNA from 1 species